rnacentral:rRNA from 1 species
CCCUUAGAUGUUCUGGGCCGCACGCGCGCUACACUGACGAAUGCAACGAGCUUAUAACCUUGGCCGAAAGGUCUGGGUAAUCUCCAAAUUUCGUCGUGAUGGGGAUAGAUUAUUGCAAUUAUUAAUCUUCAACGAGGAAUGCCUAGUAAGCGCAAGUCAUCAGCUUGCGUUGAUUACGUCCCUGCCCUUUGUACACACCGCCCGUCGCUCCUACCGAUUGAAUGGUCCGGUGAAGCGCUCGGACCGCGGCCUCUUGACGGGUCUCCGUCGAUUGGCUGUGGGAAGUUCGUUAAACCUUAUCAUUUAGAGGAAGGAGAANUCGUANCA